AGUGAACGCUGGCGGUAGGCCUAACACAUGCAAGUCGAACGGCAGCACAGUAAGAGCUUGCUCUUACGGGUGGCGAGUGGCGGACGGGUGAGGAAUACAUCGGAAUCUACUUUUUCGUGGGGGAUAACGUAGGGAAACUUACGCUAAUACCGCAUACGACCUACGGGUGAAAGUAGGGGAUCUUCGGACCUUGCGCGAUUGAAUGAGCCGAUGUCGGAUUAGCUAGUUGGCGGGGUAAAGGCCCACCAAGGCGACGAUCCGUAGCUGGUCUGAGAGGAUGAUCAGCCACACUGGAACUGAGACACGGUCCAGACUCCUACGGGAGGGAGCAGUGGGGAAUAUUGGACAAUGGGCGCAAGCCUGAUCCAGCCAUACCGCGUGGGUGAAGAAGGCCUUCGGGUUGUAAAGCCCUUUUGUUGGGAAAGAAAAGCAGCAGGUUAAUACCCCGCUGUUCUGACGGUACCCAAAGAAUAAGCACCGGCUAACUUCGUG
rnacentral:rRNA from 1 species